rnacentral:ncRNA from 1 species
GAAAGCCGUAUUCGAUGAAAGUCGUAGGUACGGCUUGGAGGGAGAUCUUUCACAUCUUUCGAGAUCCACCCUAC